UACGAAGGGGGCUAGCGUUGUUCGGAAUCACUGGGCGUAAAGCGCACGUAGGCGGCUUGCUAAGUCAGGGGUGAAAUCCUGGAGCUCAACUCCAGAACUGCCUUUGAUACUGGCGAUCUUGAGUUCGGGAGAGGUGAGUGGAACUGCGAGUGUAGAGGUGAAAUUCGUAGAUAUUCGCAAGAACACCAGUGGCGAAGGCGGCUCACUGGCCCGGUACUGACGCUGAGGUGCGAAAGCGUGGGGAGCAAACAGG
rnacentral:rRNA from 1 species